UUAUCAGUGCCCCAAUGUAAAAUAAUAAACAUGGAUUACUUUCUUAGAUACCUAAAUCAGAGAUCAACUAUCCCAUUCUACUAAGAAAAUAGAAGUGAAGGUGAAAAAGAGAUAAAAGUUUGGAGUGGGCCCAUUCAAUAUGAAACCACCUGUCCACAGGUGGCUAUUCUAAGUUAAUUAAAAUAAGUAAAAUUUAAGAAGUCAGUUCUUCAGUCAUUCUACCUACAUUUCAAGUACUCGAUAGCCAGACAGCGCUAAGUCAUUGGACAACACAGAAUAUAGAACAUAGUCACCAUUCCAACAUCACAGAGAAUUCUAUUGGACAGUUCUGGUUUUAAGCAUUCUAGAAAAUUAGAGCAGAUUGUAGAGGGAGAAAAUUUUUUGAAGUGGGACUAGGAAAGUAUUUGGACUUCUGUUCUUAAAGAGUGAAGAAAGGGGAAUCCUGAAUGAGAAGACCUAGAGACAAACCUCACCUUUUUCUAUUUUUGCCACCAAGACCACUUGACAAAAAUAUUUGGUUAUUUUUAACUUCAUAGUGAUGACACAAUAAUAAUUAUUGAGCAUAAUUUUGUUUGAAUCUUCUGCAAGGAAAAAUCUUUAUAGUUUUUUGUUUGUUUGAUUUUCCUGCAUCUACUUAUAAUAAUUUAUCUGUAUGCAGAACGUAUCAUACAAAAAGCUGGGCUGGAUUCAGACGAAGAAGGAGUGAAAAUUAGUGGAAGAAAUAUCAACAAUCUAAGAUAUGCAGGUGACACCAUUUUACUGGCAGAAAGAACAAUGACUUGAAACGACUUCUGACAAAAGUGAAAGAAGAAAGUGACUAAGCAAGACUACAUUUGAACAUCAAGAAGACAAAAAUCACGACUACAGAACAACUACACAACUUUAAUGUAGACAACGAAGACAUUGAAAUCGUUGAAGAGUUUGUUUACCGUGGUUCAGUCAUCAAUGGAGAUGCAGCCAAGAAAUCCAGAGAAGACUGAGACUUGGAAGGGCAGCAAUGGAAGAAUUAGGAGAGAUCAUCAAGUGGAAGGAAGUGUCAUUAGAGACUAAGGCCAACGUUAUCCACACCCUCGUAUUCCUAGUUACUGUGCACUGGGUGUAAAAGCUGGACAGUGAAGAAGGCUGACAGGAAAAAAUUUGAUUCAUUUGAAACCUGGUGUUGGAGGAGAGCUCUUUGGAUACCCUGGACUGCCAGAGAGACAAACAAGCGGGUCCUAGAGCAAAUUAAGCCUGAACUAUGACUGGAGGAAAAAUGGUAAAGCUGAGGCUGGACCACUAUGGGCACCUCGUGAGAAAGCAGGAUUCUUUGGAAAAGACAAUAAUGCUGGGAAAAGUAGACGGCAGCAGGAAAACACAAAAACCAAAUAUAGGAUGGAUUGCCUUCAUAAAGGAAGUCAAAGGCAUGAAUCUACAGGAGCUGAGUAGGGCUGUUGAGAAUAGGACAUUGUGGACAUCACUCAUUCACAGGGUCGUCAGGAGUGAGAGGCGACUUGAUGGAUAGAACAAGUUAUAAUGGUUUAACUUCUAUUUAAAUUAAAAUUAUUUUUUUUCUUGGGUGCUUAUCUAAACCACUGAAUAUAUGUAUACAAUCUAUCUUUAUAAUGCUAAAGCCAGUGAAAACUGAUUGCUGAGGGUUUUUAUUCAAGAAGUAUUUUAAUUUAAAUUUUAAUGAUAACAUUAAAAAAUUAAAGGGACGGGUCUUAGCGACUUGGUUGUUAUAUUUAUGACUUGUUUUUUUCUUGUCUGCUCUGGAUAGGUGAUACUGGAACUUGUUUUGCUAACCCCAACCUAACCCAGUGUUCCCUAUUAUCUCCAAUAAGGAUGUAUAGAUGUUAUUUCUUUAGAAUAUACUCUCCACAUUUUGAUAAUUUCCCAUGUUUAAAUCCUGCUACUUCGAUGUAGGGUUCAAAACAAAACAAAAUAAAACCACUGCCCAGCCUCCCUUGCUUUUAGAGACCAGAUGAUUUUAGUUUAUCUUCUACCGAACAAAUGAACACACAUAAGACUUAAUUCAGAACUGAGUAAUAUGAGAAAGCAAGCUGGACCAAGGACAAUCAUUUUUGCUGGCUUGGGUUUAGCAAAGGCAGCUAAGUUCUAGAGCUAGCCACUGGGGAGACUAACUCCUAAUUCCAUAACUUUCUGAUCAUGACAGAGACAGCAUCGGUACUGCAUCCAGUAAGAGCGGCUGUGGCUUCCAGUUGUUAUCGCUUCCUAAGGAUGGAAAAUGGAGUGCAGGUCUCGAAACAGUAGCUAUCACCCAUUUGAUGGACACAUUUGUCUUCUGAUGUAAUGACUAUUGAUCAUUUGGAUGAGAUAAGCUGAAAAAGAGAAAAUUUUGGAAAAACCAGGACAAAGAUCAACCAAAAUAAUCAACUCCUAUUUUUCAAAUCCUUGAACUUUGGAGCAUUUGUAACUGGAAAAACACCUGGAAGAACUUUCUGCUAUUUUAGUCCAACGUGCCAUACUCAUAAGAAGGGAAAUCAUCACAUCAUUUGUUGAUCAGAUUCUUGUGUCCACGGAAGAGCUUAAAAAUAUAAAGAUGGCUUGCUUUCAGGUGAAUAAAAGGACAAGUGAGAAAGAGGACAUCAUUUUAAUACAUUCAGGAGUCAUGAUGUCUACCCUCACAGAUGGAUUUUCAUUGAAAUGUCCCUCACUUGAGGAUGAGCUUUCUCAUUUCUUGAAAAGAACUGUCCACAAUUAGACUAUCCUCACUUGCGUAUGACUGAAAUUAUUAGAGAGUAAAUAGAGCAUAGUAUUGUGGUAAAAUAUGAAACUACCAUUUAAAAUGACAGUAUGAGUUACUUGUAAUCUACUUGUAGAUUCUCAACACUCUAAAAAUUAAACGAAUAGGACUGCCUAGAAUACCUAGAUUCCUUUUGCAUGAAUAAAUACAAUGGCUCUCUGUUUCUUCUUGGCUUACCUGUAAAUAUAUUCCCACUCAGCUCUAGUUCUCACCCUAAUUUAAAAAAAAAACAUAUCACCAAGUCUCUCUCUCCUGGUUCAUUGGCCUGACCAGUACUUCCAGGACAUCUUGCUACAAUCCACUCCCAAACUUAGACAUUUCAAAUCCACCAUUUGUCUUUGCCUACUGCAUCUUUGAGAAAGAAGGACAAAGAAACUUACAUUCCUUUUGAUCCACGCCCAUCAAUUUCCAAUCAUGAUGCAAUUCCCACAGUACUGUCACAUAGGCCAGCCGUCCUUAUUCU